rnacentral:rRNA from 1 species
GAUGAACGCUGGCGGCGUGCUUAACACAUGCAAGUCGAGCGAGUGAGUUCUUCGGAACGAUCUAGCGGCGGACGGGUGAGUAACACGUGGGCAACCUGCCUCAUAGAGGGGAAUAGCCUCCCGAAAGGGAGAUUAAUACCGCAUAACAUCGUUGAAGGGCAUCCUUCGAUGAUCAAAGGAGCAAUCCGCGAUGAGAUGGGCCCGCGGCGCAUUAGCUAGUUGGUGAGGUAACGGCUCACCAAGGCGACGAUGCGUAGCCGACCUGAGAGGGUGAUCGGCCACAUUGGGACUGAGACACGGCCCAGACUCUUACGGGAGGCAGCAGUGGGGAAUAUUGCACAAUGGGGGAAACCCUGAUGCAGCAACGCCGCGUGAGUGAUGACGGCCUUCGGGUUGUAAAGCUCUGUCUUUGGGGACGAUAAUGACGGUACCCAAGGAGGAAGUCACGGCUAACUACGUGCCAGCCGCCGCCGUAA